rnacentral:rRNA from 1 species
CAGCCGCCGCGGGAAUACGGAGGAUCCAAGCGUUAUCCGGAAUCAUUGGGUUUAAAGGGUCCGUAGGCGGUCUUGUAAGUCAGUGGUGAAAGCCCAUCGCUCAACGGUGGAACGGCCAUUGAUACUGCAGGACUUGAAUUAUUGGGAAGUAACUAGAAUAUGUAGUGUAGCGAUGAAAUGCUUAGAGAUUACAUGGAAUACCAAUUGCGAAGGCAGGUUACUACCAAUUGAUUGACGCUGAUGGACGAAAGCGUGGGUAGCGAACAGGAUUAGAUACCCCCGUAGUCCCUGUCUCUUAUAC